rnacentral:rRNA from 1 species
AUGGAAAAUGCGUAUUCGUGUGAGCGGCGUACGCGGGGGAGGUAUACACGUUGGCAGUUUCGUAUGUCUGACGCCGGUCAGGCUCGCUGGCAGGUGAAGGGCGUGACGGAACCAGGACGGUCUAGGAUUGUUACAAAAGCUGGACCAUGGUCCAGGAUUUUUUUGCGUACGAGGAGAGCCUCUGGGCAGGGCGCUCGCGUGUCUUGGGGCUUUGCUGCCGACAAAAGAAAAGAGGUAAAAAUCACAAAAGAGAAAGGAGGUGUGGGGCAGGGUAUGGAUCAGGAGAGGCGAUGGAGAGCGAGGCAAUGGGUUAGGCGGCAGCAGCGGCCGCCAUGGGAGCCGCCGGAGAUUUCCCCCUGGAUCCAGUGCGCAGGUUCGUUUCACACAUACUCCCCUGUCCCCCCUCCGCCCCUCGCCAAUGAGGAGAUCUGUCACUUGUGGCAAACCUGGUGGCGAGGGGAGCAGAGACGGCGCUCCUGCCGAGUCUGGCGAGGCGGCAAGUCGGCGGUGAAGCACGAUCCCAAGGGGCUGGGCUGGAUUAGAAGGGAUGCAUGUCAUAGAUUGCUUGAUCUCCCUGUUGAUGGAUGCAUGAAAACCAGGACGAGGUGGGUGAGAUCGAGGGCUGGGGGCGCUGCACUGCGAGAUUCGUCGGUGGUUGCUCACGACAGUUGCGGCAACCCUGGGGGUGAGAACAGUACAGACAGCGGUCCUACGGAGUCCGGGGAGUCCGCGGUCAAGCCAGAUCAAAUUUACAUUUUUUUUGGCAUGUGGCUGGUGAUUGUUCUUGUGGCGGCGGUGGCCUGCGACAAAAAAAUAUUGGUUGAUGGGCAACUUAGGAAGAAGACCAUAAACUUAGCCAAAGUGUACAUCAUCGUUGGUGGUUUCUUUGGGACAGUGGAGAAUGUGCCAUUCACAAAAAGGUCGCUACGACAAGAUGACUAUGUGAAGAAGAUAAUAUAG